rnacentral:rRNA from 1 species
GCAGGCUGCAACUCGCCUGCAUGAAGCUGGAAUUGCUAGUAAUCGCGGAUCAGCAAGCCGCGGUGAAUACGUUCCCGGGCCUUGUACACACCGCCCGUCACACCAUGAGAGUCGGGAACACCCGAAGUCCGUAGUCUAACCGCAAGGGGGGCGCGACCGAAGGUGGGUCCGGUAAUUGGGGUGAAGUCGUAACAAGGUAUC